UACGUAGGUGGCAAGCGUUAUCCGGAUUUAUUGGGCGUAAAGGGAACGCAGGCGGUCUUUUAAGUCUGAUGUGAAAGCCUUCGGCUUAACCGGAGUAGUGCAUUGGAAACUGGGAGACUUGAGUGCAGAAGAGGAGAGUGGAACUCCAUGUGUAGCGGUGAAAUGCGUAGAUAUAUGGAAGAACGCCAGUGGCGAAAGCGGCUCUCUGGUCUGUAACUGACGCUGAGGUUCGAAAGCGUGGGUAGCAAACAGG
rnacentral:rRNA from 1 species